GGGACACGUGGUAUCCUGUCUGAAUAUGGGGGGACCAUCCUCCAAGGCUAAAUACUCCUGACUGACCGAUAGUGAACCAGUACCGUGAGGGAAAGGCGAAAAGAACCCCGGCGAGGGGAGUGAAAAAGAACCUGAAACCGUGUACGUACAAGCAGUGGGAGCCUCUUUUAUGGGGUGACUGCGUACCUUUUGUAUAAUGGGUCAGCGACUUAUAUUCUGUAGCAAGGUUAACCGAAUAGGGGAGCCGAAGGGAAACCGAGUCUUAACUGGGCGUUAAGUUGCAGGGUAUAGACCCGAAACCCGGUGAUCUAGCCAUGGGCAGGUUGAAGGUUGGGUAACACUAACUGGAGGACCGAACCGACUAAUGUUGAAAAAUUAGCGGAUGACUUGUGGCUGGGGGUGAAAGGCCAAUCAAACCGGGAGAUAGCUGGUUCUCCCCGAAAGCUAUUUAGGUAGCGCCUCGUGAAUUCAUCUCCGGGGGUAGAGCACUGUUUCGGCAAGGGGGUCAUCCCGACUUACCAACCCGAUGCAAACUGCGAAUACCGGAGAAUGUUAUCACGGGAGACACACGGCGGGUGCUAACGUCCGUCGUGAAGAGGGAAACAACCCAGACCGCCAGCUAAGGUCCCAAAGUCAUGGUUAAGUGGGAAACGAUGUGGGAAGGCCCAGACAGCCAGGAUGUUGGCUUAGAAGCAGCCAUCAUUUAAAGAAAGCGUAAUAGCUCACUGGUCGAGUCGGCCUGCGCGGAAGAUGUAACGGGGCUAAACCAUGCACCGAAGCUGCGGCAGCGACACUUAGGUGUUGUUGGGUAGGGGAGCGUUCUGUAAGCCUGUGAAGGUGUGCUGUGAGGCAUGCUGGAGGUAUCAGAAGUGCGAAUGCUGACAUAAGUAACGAUAAAGCGGGUGAAAAGCCCGCUCGCCGGAAGACCAAGGGUUCCUGUCCAACGUUAAUCGGGGCAGGGUGAGUCGACCCCUAAGGCGAGGCCGAAAGGCGUAGUCGAUGGGAAACAGGUUAAUAUUCCUGUACUUGGUGUUACUGCGAAGGGGGGACGGAGAAGGCUAUGUUGGCCGGGCGACGGUUGUCCCGGUUUAAGCGUGUAGGCUGGUUUUCCAGGCAAAUCCGGAAAAUCAAGGCUGAGGCGUGAUGACGAGGCACUACGGUGCUGAAGCAACAAAUGCCCUGCUUCCAGGAAAAGCCUCUAAGCAUCAGGUAACAUCAAAUCGUACCCCAAACCGACACAGGUGGUCAGGUAGAGAAUACCAAGGCGCUUGAGAGAACUCGGGUGAAGGAACUAGGCAAAAUGGUGCCGUAACUUCGGGAGAAGGCACGCUGAUAUGUAGGUGAAGUCCCUCGCGGAUGGAGCUGAAAUCAGUCGAAGAUACCAGCUGGCUGCAACUGUUUAUUAAAAACACAGCACUGUGCAAACACGAAAGUGGACGUAUACGGUGUGACGCCUGCCCGGUGCCGGAAGGUUAAUUGAUGGGGUUAGCGGUAACGCGAAGCUCUUGAUCGAAGCCCCGGUAAACGGCGGCCGUAACUAUAACGGUCCUAAGGUAGCGAAAUUCCUUGUCGGGUAAGUUCCGACCUGCACGAAUGGCGUAAUGAUGGCCAGGCUGUCUCCACCCGAGACUCAGUGAAAUUGAACUCGCUGUGAAGAUGCAGUGUACCCGCGGCAAGACGGAAAGACCCCGUGAACCUUUACUAUAGCUUGACACUGAACAUUGAGCCUUGAUGUGUAGGAUAGGUGGGAGGCUUAGAAGUGUGGACGCCAGUCUGCAUGGAGCCGACCUUGAAAUACCACCCUUUAAUGUUUGAUGUUCUAACGUGGACCCGUAAUCCGGGUUGCGGACAGUGUCUGGUGGGUAGUUUGACUGGGGCGGUCUCCUCCUAAAGAGUAACGGAGGAGCACGAAGGUUGGCUAAUCCUGGUCGGACAUCAGGAGGUUAGUGCAAUGGCAUAAGCCAGCUUGACUGCGAGCGUGACGGCGCGAGCAGGUGCGAAAGCAGGUCAUAGUGAUCCGGUGGUUCUGAAUGGAAGGGCCAUCGCUCAACGGAUAAAAGGUACUCCGGGGAUAACAGGCUGAUACCGCCCAAGAGUUCAUAUCGACGGCGGUGUUUGGCACCUCGAUGUCGGCUCAUCACAUCCUGGGGCUGAAGUAGGUCCCAAGGGUAUGGCUGUUCGCCAUUUAAAGUGGUACGCGAGCUGGGUUUAGAACGUCGUGAGACAGUUCGGUCCCUAUCUGCCGUGGGCGCUGGAGAACUGAGGGGGGCUGCUCCUAGUACGAGAGGACCGGAGUGGACGCAUCACUGGUGUUCGGGUUGUCAUGCCAAUGGCACUGCCCGGUAGCUAAAUGCGGAAGAGAUAAGUGCUGAAAGCAUCUAAGCACGAAACUUGCCCCGAGAUGAGUUCUCCCUGACUCCUUGAGAGUCCUGAAGGAACGUUGAAGACGACGACGUUGAUAGGCCGGGUGUGUAAGCGCAGCGAUGCGUUGAGCUAACCGGUACUAAUGAACCGUGAGGCUUAACCUU
rnacentral:rRNA from 1 species